GAUGAAGAACGUAGCGAAAUGCGAUAAGUAGUGUGAAUUGCAGAAUUCAGUGAAUCAUCAAAUCUUUGAACGCACAUUGCGCCCCUUGGUAUUCCAUGGGGCAUGCCUGUUCGAGCGUCAUUUGUACCUUCAAGCUUUGCUUGGUGUUGGGUGUUUGUCCAUUCUCUUGCAGAGGGACUCGCCUUAAAGUAAUUGGCAGCCAGUGUUUUGGUUUUGAAGCGCAGCACAAGUCGCGAUUCAAAGCUAUACGCCCGCUUCCACAAGCCUUUUUCACUUUUGACCUCGGAUCAGGUAGGGAUACCCGCUGAACUUAAGCAUAUCAAUAAGCGGAGGA
rnacentral:misc_RNA from 1 species